CUUGGCUCAAGGGAUGACUUUCAAUAGAUCGCAGCGAGGUAGCUGCUCUGCUACGUACGAAACCCUGACCCAGAAUCAGGUCGUCUAAGAAUGAAUCAGCACGGGU